rnacentral:rRNA from 1 species
ACGGGUGAGUAAUGCUUAUCUAACUUGCCAAUUAGUGGGGGAUAACCAUGGGAAACCAUGGCUAAUACCGCAUUUGUUACUUCGGUAAUGAAAGAGAGUCGCAAGAUUCUCGCUAAUUGAUAGGGAUAAGUCGUAUUAGUUAGUUGGUGGGGUAAUGGCCUACCAAGACCAUGAUGCGUAGCCAGUCUGAGAGGAUGAAUGGCCACAAGGGAACUGAGACACGGUCCCUACUCCUACGGGAGGCAGCAGUGAGGAAUUUUCGGCAAUGGGGGCAACCCUGACCGAGCAAUACUACGUGAAGGAGGAAGGUCUACGGAUUGUAAACUUCUGUUAGCAGGGAAGAAGGGCUGGACGUGAGUUCAGUUUUGACGGUACCUGCAGAGAAAGCCACGACUAACUACGUGCCAGCAGUCGCGGUAAGACGUAGGUGGCGAACGUUAUCCGGAAUCAUUGGGCGUAAAGGGUGCGUAGGUGGCAUAAUAAGUUAUCAGCGGUAAAUCGGGGCUCAMCCUCGUGGAAGUCGGUAAUACUGUUAUACUUGAGUGCAGGAGAGGUUAACGGAACUCCAUGUGGAGCGGUAAAAUGCGUAGAUAUAUGGAAGAACACCAAUAACGGCGAAGGCAGUUAACUAUUCUGUUACUGACAUUGAGGCACGAAAGCGUGGGGAGCAAAAAGGAUUAGAUACCCUUGUAGUCCACGCCCUAAACGAUGAGUGCUAGAUAUUGGGAACUUGAUUCUCAGUGUCGCUAGUUAACACGGUAAGCACUCCGCCUGGGUAGUACGGUCGCAAGGCUGAAACUCAAAGGAAUUGACGGGGACUCGCACAAGCAGUGGAGCAUGUGGUUUAAUCCGAUACAACGCGUAGAACCUUACCAAGGCUUGACAUGUUCGGCAAAGUUAUUGAAAGGUAAUGGAGGUUAUCCGGACACAGGUGCUGCAUGGCCGUCGUCAGUUCGUGCCGUGAGGUGUAUGGUUAAGUCCUAUAACGAACGUAACCCUUAGGUUUAGUUGCCAGCAUUCAGUUGGGGACUCUAGACCGACUGCCCGAGUAAUCGGGAGAAGGAAAGGAUGACGUCUGGUCGUC